UCGGACAACACACAGCCAGGCAGUGAACGCCGCUUAGAAACAGGACCCAUGACAGCAACCUUCCCUGCUUCUCAGGAGCCAGUGCGUGUCCACACCAGUCCAGGCCUUUUCUUCUUCUACUGAGUCCUGCUUCCCAUCUCAGCUGAUAGCACCACCGCUUGUGGAAAAAUUAAUUUGACAGUGGUGUGCCCAAUUGGAUGCAAGGAAGGAGCAGGGUUUUCUGACCUGGUGACUGUGGAUACGCCUCAGGAGUCUGAAGACCCUGAAACUGCCAUCAUUGUGUGGGUUCGUUUGCUUUUCUGAGGAGGGAUUCCAUAGCUUUCAUCCGACACUCCACAGGUUGAGAGCUCUUGGAUUCAACUGGUGCCCAAACAAGACAGGACCACCAGUGCAUAUUUGAACAGGACAAUCCUUCUGCCCAUCCAUCUGAUCCCUGCUUCCACUUCCCACAAGCAAACAUCCAGUCCACAAAACUCAUUGAGCAGCUACAGUGAGCUGUGUGCCAAGCAUGUGCCAGGGACUGGGGCUGCAAAGAGAGAUGGAGGCCACAGGGAAGAGGCCACGAGAUAGUCAGUUGUCUCAUGAAGUAGAAUACAGGUGAAGCCAGAGAAUCACAAGCCAUGAAAACCUUCUGGAGGUGACAUCUGAGCUUUGUCUUGCCAGUUGAUCUUGCUAGAAUACAUAUGAAGUAAAGAGGGGCCUGGAAUUGCUGGUGGCUGAGGAAAUGGGAGAGGAAAAAGCAUGCCGGACUGUCACGGUGCAGGAAGCCCUCAUCACUACUAAGACUUAGUGACUAAUCCCAUACAGGGGAAGGAAGCUUGGGUGGCUGUGAGUCAAGGAUCCAAGCCUGGAAGACUGCAAACAAUACUGACUGGGGUUGGCAGACAGAAAGGCGACGACUUUUUCAGUGGGAAGACAAUGAGUUUUGGUUUCAGACAUCUUGAUUUGGAGGCAAUGAGAGGAUACCCGAAGACUAUUCAGAACGUCUUGAGAGGAACUGGGAAUACAGGACUGCUGCUGGGGACGUGUCAGGGAAAGAGAAAGGAGAAAUUUGGACACGUGGACACACACGGAGAACGUGUGAAGAUGAAGGCAGAGGUGGCAAACACAAAGAUGGCCAGCAAACCACCAGAAGCCCUCAGAGGCCCCAACUCCGCCAGCACCUUGCUCGCAAACUGCUGGCCUCCGGAACUGUGAAAGAAUAAAGUUUCUGCGAUCUUAGGCCCCCUGGUUUGUGGUUCUUUACAGCUCUGACAAACACACACAGACGCCUAUGAAAGGGUGAUGGCCUCAGAGGGCUAGGGGCUGGGGAAGCCGGCCGGUUUGAAGAGGAGAGCUUGUGCGGGGUGGGACCUGCUGAGGAGGUGUCCAGCUCGGAAUGUGGGAGUGGUCAGGAACCCUUGAUUGGAGCCAAGGAGCCUCCUGGCACAAAGCAAAACUUCAUGAUGAUCAACCACACCUCACAUUUGCUUCAUUCAGUCUAUGGACCAGGAAGGAUUUUCUGUGACACAUUCAGGUUCUUACUCAUCUACAGAGUCACAGAUCUGUCAGCCUGGGAACCGGCCCCCAAAUGGAAGACCCAGGCAGUUCUGACGGGUCCAUCUGCAAGGGGAGUCACAGAAGUGUGUGACGAGGAGAGGAAGAGAUACAACAGAUGCCUCAUAAGAAGCAGACGGAGGACUGCAGGGACUGCCUGGCCCAGUCCCUCACUAGGCGUAAGAAACAAACUCACCCGUCCAAACCCAAAGAAUGGACUCAGAGACCCGGAGAACAGCGAAAGCGAGAUUUUUAAUAAAAAGUCGGUCUUGCAGAAUCGGGUGUCCGAUGGACAGGCACACCCAGCAGUUUCAACAAGCAAUUUGUCCGCUAGUGCACAGGUUCCUCCCCCAGUUUCUCACAGGCUGAGUAAUACGGGGUCACAACCUUCCUGGACGUCACCUAUUGAUUGUUAGGCAGGGGCUUUAGGUGUUUUGUUUGUUUGUUUGUUUGUUUUUAGGGUUGUCUUCCUGCGUUUUGUCACGGCCCACAAUGCAUUGCAACCCUAGUCAGCUCAGGGGCUCUUCGAGUAUUUAACUUACACCCUAAGUAGCUGGGCUGGCUGAUAAGACCAGACAAAGGGAGCUAUUUUGCAGGCUAGUAGUAAGCUUUCAUUUUAGACUAAACUUCUUUGGUUCUGGUGAAGGCAACUAAUGGGGGGUAAGCAGGGAAAGGGGAGGCCCACAAGCAGGCAUCAGCUAUCCAAGCAGGGGCCUCGAAUACCCUGUUUGUUCUGUAGUUUGCUGACCUGAGCCAGUUUGAGGCACUUUGUCUUGGAAAUGGACCACUGCAUACAUUAUGUCCUUCACUGGUGAAAAUGAGAGGGGCCGUGACUGACUCAGUCCCAUAGUCACAGGCACCAGAACAGUCCCCAGCCUGCCCCUUGACUCAGAGCCCCCAUCUCCGAACUGUGCCCUCAGAUUUGGGAGCACUAACGCGAUAACUUUGACUUCUUUUGUGCUGUAGUGACCAGCCUUCUGAAAGUGCCCAGAAAUUCUCUCUGAAGUGUGUUUGAGGCCAUGGGACAGAGGGAGGUGGCCUUUUCAGCAGCACUGGGCAGGCAGAAUUGGCAAGAGUAAUUGGAAAGCUGAGGUACCUCAGCAGCAAGAGGUCCGGGACCACAGAAGCAGGUCAAGAAGCUGUUUUUGGGGGCCAUUAUGACCUUUGGGUGUGGACUUCGGUUUCAGGCCCACACAGUGCCCAUUAGUGAGCUGUGCUGCAGCCCUAGCCCUGCCACUUGUGAGUGAGCUGAUCUCAGCGGGGUGGCAUGCUCCCUGCUCCGUGCUCCCUGCUUUGCAACACCACAGCCUGGGUGGUUAAUAUCCCGGAUGACAGUUGCUUGUUUUUAUUCCAACACGACCAGUUAGAAGCAGGGCAACCGUGGACAAGGUGGUGAACACCUUUAUACUUCUGUGUUUUCAGUUGAAAAAUGGAGACGUGAAGUUCCCUAGUCACAGAGCAGCUGUGAUGGGACCCACGUAAACAGCCCUGAUCAGGAGUGAAGAGCAACAUGUGGCACACAGGGCCUCCUCCACAAGCAACAGUCGCUGCUUGCUGUUACUGUGGGCUCCACGUUGGGAUCAGACACACCUGUCUUCAGUGGCGUGCAGUUGCAGCAAGGACCAAAUGUGAGUGAGAGCACUUUGUGCCUGGAAAUGGACAGAAGAACAUUGAAAUAUGAUGACCUGAAAAUCAUGCAGAAGACAGGCGUGGCCUGUGGGUGCUUGAUGCGUGGUGGUGGCUUUAAUUGUUACCGAAUAACAGGGAGGUAUGAUCGCAAAUGUCACUGUUGCCUUCAAACUCUACGUUUUGGUUUGAAUUCCUUCUGAAACUUGCUCCUUGCACAUCUCUGCUCCUGUAGUCCAUCCACAAAGGGCCAUCUGAGGAAACUUGCUGUGCACCAGGCUCCCCCACGGUGCCAGGAGCACAGCAGUGCACAAGACAGACAUGAGUCGGCUGGAAAAGAAACAUUAGGCAAAUACAGUCAUCCCUGGGAAUCUGCAGGAAAUUGCUUCCAGGGCCAUGGGUAAGACAUGAAAAUCUGCACAUACUCAAGUCCCACAGCGAGUCCUGGGGACCCAAGGUUAUGAAAAGCCAGGCUUCCGUACGGGCAGAUUUAAGUCCUGAGAAUACUGUAUUUUCUAUCUGUGUUUGGUUGUGGAUACAAAACCCACGGACUGUAUUUUUUGAAAAAAAAAAAAAAAAAAAAAAAAAUCCAUCUCUAAGUGGACCCUCGCAGUUCAAACCUGUGUUUAAGAGUCAACUGUAAUUUCAAAUUGGUAUCGCAACAGUCUUAUUAAGACUGUCUCAUGGGAUUUGAUUUUAUCCUUCUUAGAAGGUAUUCAGUCAACCUGUUACUGUUUUCUGGAUGUUGGCAGAAGCCAGGAGACUGCUGGGUUGGGGACCAUGGACACCGUUACUUGCUACACAACUAGCAGCACGUCCAGCAGCACGUCUAGGGUCUAUUCUAAAAGAAAACAUUACGGGCAGGCAGUAGCAGACCACUGUGCUUGCAACCGUCAUGAGAUGGCUCAGGAGACACAGGAGCUGCCCUGGGUGUGAAUUUCGUAGCCAUGCUGGCUCCUCGCAGUGGCCCUUGGCAUCGGUUGGGAUCUUGCAGCAAGAUUCUUCAUCGGUUUCUCCAUCUCUGAAGACUUCUUGCCAACAGCUGUACACGUGGAUAUGUUCUUUUCUCUUAUGCAGCUGUCUGUUUUACAUGAGUAGAAUGGAUGUGUGCUUCAGUGUCCCAGGAGAAAACACAUGCUGUGCCCAAACAAGACAGGAGCGGGCUUAGAAAGGGCCCUGUUUACUUGAGGUGUGGCAGGGGGUGUAGCACCACAAAGGAAAGGGAAGGUGACUCCUACCCAUGUGACAGGGAAGCUUGUACCACUCUUACCUACACGGAGAGCCCAGUACGAGAGGAGAGGUGGGUAGAAAGGUCUGCAUGGAGAGAGCUGGGGCAUCUGGGCCCAGGUAGCUCCAGGACAACUGUGCCAGCAGCUGCUCUACAGUCUCCUCCAGGAUCCCCAUCUACUGAGCCCACCUGGCAGCUGGAGGGUGGAGCCCUAGUGUCCAACCAGGUGCGUCUCCCAGAGUGCUCGGCAGGGCAGAGGAGCAUGGGUAGCAGUCUGGAAGAGCAAGAGAAAUUGGGCACAAAAUUCCUAAGGAGAUAGUAAGUUUGCCAAAGGGCACAGACACGUCCUAAAUUCAUAGCUUGCUAGAGUUAAGAGCAUCAACAACAACAACAACAAAAAUGCUCCUUGCCUGUAAAUGGGAUAAUCAUAGAAUGACUAAAUGAGAUCAACUCACUCCAGGACCCUGAAAACAGAAAAGAGCACUAGAAGAGGUUGAACUUCGUGGGUGGGUGGCAGACGGUGCAUGGGCUACAUGAGGUACUUUCCCCAGUGGUACUGUCCCUCAUUCACCUUGCCUGAUGGCCUAGACUCAAUGUUAGCAGCUGCCAUGCUGUCCCACCUGGGGAAGGCCACAGUGGUUUGUGAAGCAGCCUGCUGUGCUCUACUUAAUCCUCCCAUGACCUUUACCUGUUCCUCUUAUCUUGCAGUUUUUGGAAGCAUCUUUUUCUCUGGGGCUUUGUGAUGGCCAAUAAGGAGGCCUGAGUCUCCCCAGAAGUUUCCCAGCACCUACUUGCCCAGCCCGCACUCCAGCUAUGGGUCAACUGGGAAGGAAAAAAACAAGACAAAGGACUCCCUUCUGCUCCCACUCCCAGAGAAUGAAUCCCCCAGCUGCCUGUCUGCUCCUCUUUAACUGAGUCUUCAGAUGAUGUGAAGCGGUGGGGUCUUCAGAUCAGCCUGCCCUGGGAGCAGAAAGUUGAUUUGCAGAAGGAGGCCUCGUGUUUGAGGAGCAGGGGAACAUUUCCUCCUUCAUGGAUAGGUUCCUUCUGUCUCAGGCCUGAGCCACAUCUGAACUCAGACGCAGGAGAAUGGGCAAGGGAGAAAUAGGUAUGGCUCCAGGUGGGAGGAGGGCCUGGGAUCAAGGGAUCAAAGCCCCCACUUAGCAUCACAGUUUGCCUGUGCACAUUUCUGUGAAUUAGGCAAGCAAGAGAUACAUUAUUAUUGCAUUCCCUAAACUCCAUUUCAAUCGUACCCAAUUUCAAAAGGUGACUAACAGGUGAGGUGGGAUGGCAGAAAGAUCCCUGAGUCACAAGCACCUGGAAUCUCCAGGCUGGCGCUUUCUGAAUCAUUUAGUUGGAGGAGAUCUUAGAAAACCUUGCCUCACCCUUCCUAGAAGGCCAUCAUCACUUCCAGUGAAGCAAACCUGUUGCCUUCCAAAGCAUCAACAUCUGUUAUUGGUAGAAAACGCCACCUGAAAUUUAGCUGAAACAGUCGAAUGCAGUGCUCAAUUCCAAAUGAACUUCUCUACCUCAUGAAGUAGAAUAAGAAAACUGUAAGCCACAGACAUCUUGAAUUUAGUCUUUGUCAAAAUUAAGGUGAGGCUUGAUCCCUCGAACUUCAGUAGCAGGAGACUUAGAGGACCCAGUUGCUGCUGACAUUGUUAAGCACUGAAUUGAUAUUAGCAUUUGCUUAGAAAGACAAGAGAAUAUCCACAUAUCCAAUACAUUUUAAGUAAAAAUCUAUACUUCUUUUGUAUGUUGUCAUUUAAAAUAAUGAGUUUAUCAGCUUAAUUAGAUAGAGCAAAAGUCUUUAUAUAAUUUGGAAAGUUUGGGUUAAUUGUCCCACCUUGAGAACGUGGAUGUUUAUCGUAGGAAAUACUUGUCCGAGUGUUCGUUGUAGAAAUCCACGAUGCUCACUUCAAGCUGUAAUCUGUGUUUGCCACAGAGGUUUGUUCUAAUUCCCCAACCUUGCCACGACUGACCUGGGUCAUCACCAUGUGCUUAUUGAAGACCCUUGGAAAACUGUAUAGACCCGUAGAGAGUUGUUCACAUAGGUGAGGACUUUCCUCCUGGUGAAUUUUUUUUUUUUUUUUUUUUUUUUUGAGAUGGAGUUUCACUCUUGUUGCCCAGGCUGGAGUGCAAUGGUGCGAUCUUGGCUCACUGCAACUUCCGCCUCCCAGGUUCAAGCGAUUCUCCUGCCUCAGCCUCCGGAGUAGCUAGGACUACAGGCACCUGCCUCCACGCCCGGCUAAUUUUGUAUUUUUAGUAGAGAUGGAGUUUUCUCCAUGUUGGUCAGGCUGGUAUUGAACUCCCGACCUCAGGUGAUCUGCCUGCCUCAGCCUCACAAAGUUCUGGGAUUACAGGUGUGAGCCACCCACUGCACCAGGCCGAAAAUAUUUUAUAAUAAAGUGACUGUUGUAGAUUAACUUUAUAAUACAAUGCGAAUUCUCAAUUCUUAUAACAAAGACUAAUGUAUAUAAAUUUCAGUAUGUUUUAAAAUUAGCCAGUACUUAGUAGAAAGCCCAUAUAGUUUACUGUAGCACUUCUGCACUUAUAGUUUAGGUCUGUCUAGAUGUAUGACUUCUCAGAGGCUGCCGAAUAUUGACCUUUUGCAUGGUAAAUAUUCAGUCUUUGAAAAUUUAUUUCAUAAUAUGCUGGAACCACGAUAUUGUAUCUGAUCAGCACGUGGUCUGGUAUCUGGGGUUCAUAAUUUUCUUUUUCCCCUUCACACUUCAGACAAUUAAUGAUGACUAUAAUAGUUUCUCAUUAGAAAUACAUGCUAAUAAAUAUCAUGUCUUUGGUAUUAAGUGGCAAUUAGAUGAAACAACCUGAAAUUCUGCUUUCUGAUACCAAGAUUGAACUUUGCUGAGAUUACUGUUUCACUCACCGAAAAUAUCAGAAUACUCAGGGGAGUUAUUUUUUUUCUUAAUGUAACUUUCAUAACAGAAAUGAAAGAAAUGUGGAAACUGAAACAGUUGUCUGGUGUCUCAAUACUGCAUGCAGGUUCGACUACAUUCUAAGCAAGUUGACUGUGUUAUGAUACAUUUCACAUUUUCUGCGAUAUUGUUUGUUCUGAGACCUUAUGCAAUUACACAGCAGAUUUUUUACACUGACCUAGACUGAGAAAAGAAAACCACCGUUCCCCUUUCUCCUUUUAAACAGGAGAGUGCCUCAAGUACACUCGGGAUCCCUCUCACCAAGCACAGCAAGGCUUG